AGAAUUAUGUUGUAGUUGGUCUACACUUUGAUUGCAGAUCUUAAGUCUGAGGUUCAAUUCCUCCAUAAUUCUA
rnacentral:tRNA from 1 species